UACGAAGGGGGCUAGCGUUGCUCGGAAUUACUGGGCGUAAAGGGCGCGUAGGCGGCACUGUUAGUCAGGCGUGAAAGUCCUGGGCUCAACCUGGGAACUGCGCUUGAUACGGCAGAGCUAGAGGAUGGAAGAGGGUCGCGGAAUUCCCAGUGUAGAGGUGAAAUUCGUAGAUAUUGGGAAGAACACCAGUGGCGAAGGCGGCUCACUGGACUGGUAUUGACGCUGAGGUGCGAAAGCGUGGGGAGCAAACAGG
rnacentral:rRNA from 1 species